rnacentral:misc_RNA from 1 species
GAUGAAGAACGUAGCAAAAUGCGAUAAGUAAUGUGAAUUGCAGAAUUCAGUGAAUCAUCGAAUCUUUGAACGCACAUUGCGCCCUUUGGUAUUCCGAAGGGCAUGCCUGUACGAGCGUCAUUUCACCACUCAAGCCUGGCUUGGUAUUGGGCGCCGCGGUCGAUCCGCGCGCCUCAAAGUCUCCGGCUGAGCUGUCCGUCUCUAAGCGUUGUGAUUUCAUUAAUCGCUUCGGAGUGCGGGCGGCCGCGGCCGUUAAAUCUUUCACAAGGUUGACCUCGGAUCAGGUAGGGAUACCCGCUGAACUUAAGCAUAUCAAUAAGCGGAGGA